AUCCAGUUGACGAGUCCCAAAUGGGACGAAACGCGUGUCCUGGAU
rnacentral:hammerhead_ribozyme from 1 species